rnacentral:rRNA from 1 species
UAAUACUCCAUAGAUUAGAGACACUGGAAUGUUCUUUAGUCGAAAGUUCUGGCGCCUUAGGAUGGAUCUGCGGUCGAUUAGGUUGUUGUUGGGGUAACGGCCCAACAAGCCUGUAAUCGAUACGGGUUGUGGGAGCAAGAGCCCGGAGAUGGAAUCUGAGACACGAUUCCAGGCCCUACGGGGCGCAGCAGGCGCGAAAACUUUACAAUGCAGGAAACUGUGAUAAGGGAACUCCGAGUGCCCGUAUACGCGGGCUGUCCAGGUGUUUAAAAAUCAUCUGAAGAAAGGGCCGGGCAAGACCGGUGCCAGCCGCCGCGGUAAUACCGGCGGCUCGAGUGGUGGCCACUAUUAUUGGGCUUAAAGCGUCCGUAGCUGGACCGAUAAGUCUCUUGGGAAAUCCGCCGGCUCAACCGGCGGGCGUCUAAGGGAUACUGUUAGUCUAGGGACCGGGAGAGGUGAGAGGUACUCCGGGGGUAGGAGUGAAAUCCUGUAAUCCCCGGGGGACCACCGAUGGCGAAGGCAUCUCACCAGAACGGCUCCGACAGUGAGGGACGAAAGCUGGGGGAGCGAACCGGAUUAGAUACCCGGGUAGUCCCAGCCGUAAACUAUGCGCGUUAGGUGU